UUAAUUUUAUUUAAGGAGAAAAGAAAAAAAAAGCAGGGAAAGGGUACAAGUUAUACAGAUUUACAGAAAAAAAAAAUGAACAGUAGGAAAUCACUAGUUAAUGGAUUACAUAUUGUCAUCUUAGAAAUAAUUGUUCAAGUCACAAAAUUAAAGCUUGUAAAGUGGACAUUCCAUCAAUGAUACUGCAAACAGUUCUGUUCAUUGAUCCAGUAAAAUCCUGUGAUAUCAUUUUCUAUCUUAUACACUUAAAUAUACAUGCAGUUAUAUAGUUUGGAGCACUUUCUUUUCCUCUCUUUUGUACCAUGACUAUUACACAUUUUGGGUUUCAUUGCUCCCAUGGUUCUUAUUACUUUUUUGGAAGAGAGUAAAACCAAAUGUGACAUAACAGAACAGAAUCGGUCAAGUCAAAAGGGUGGAUAUAAUAGAUAAUGUAAAAACAUAAUACAAGGUGAUCAACAAUGGUUACCAUAAUGCCUCCCGCUAUCUCUAAUAGAAUUGCCUAUAUCAUUAGUUAUAAUACAAUUGAACAGAACAGUAAAGAAUAAAACCAACAAAACCAAAACAUUGGAAACAUUGUAGGUCUUCAAAAGUAGAUAAAAGUCAACAAGAAUGGGCGUCAUAAUGAAUCUCAUUAUCUUCACAGCUGAUGCCUAAACUUUCGAACCUGAUACUAUCCAGCAAAACAGAAUAGGGGAACAUCAGUUAAAAACCAGAUGGUGAGAGUAAUACAGGGCUUUAAAUCAAGGUAAUGAAAAGUCAAAGUGGGUUACUAUAAUAUAUCCUGCUAUUUUUUUCCUUUAAUUAAAAGGAUAAAGAUAAAAAAGUAAAUAGUGGAGUGGAGAUUGAGAUAAAAGAGGGCAUAACAACAAAACAGCGCAGAUCAAAACAUAACCAUUUAAGCAGAAUAGUGUUUCACCACCAGAUAAUCCUAACCUAAAAGUAGUUACCAUAUUGUCUCUUUGAAAUCCUUGAGUACAACUUCGUAUACUGUAGCAUUAAGUAUAUCAAAACAAUGUAAAACCAUUCAAGAGAAUGACAGCAUUACAGAAAAUGAGGCAGAGAAGAUUGGAUGAUAGGAACAGCUAUUUUGGAGAAAAUGACAUCUUAAUAGGUAAUACUGAUUUAGUAUCAUCUUGUUUUGAAGUCUCAUCUAGCUUUUGUCCUUCUGUCUCCAAUGGUCUAAAUAGGUUGUAUCUUACUGGAUUUUAUUAUGUACAAUAGUAUAAGCAAAAACCUUGUAAAGACAAGGAGAUUAUACAGAAACCAUUAUUCA